UCUGUCCUCGUGACUUCACAAAAGUUGCCAUAGCAACAAGUGGAAUUUUUUCUAUAACAAUUGUUUUUUAAACACACACAGGCUGCAAACUCAGCAUUUCAGGGAUCAAGGCAGUGUCAGUGAAGGGGGCUGCUGAAGCAAGAAAAAAAUCGUUCAGCAUGGAGUAGAGUGAGAGAAGAAAGAAAAAACAGAUAGGCUGUAUGUAACAGGAGAAGCAAACUUGUAAGCUUUCGGGAAUGUUCCAGCAAGAGGGACUGGACACUACCAGGGAGAUGGUUUUGGGGAAACGCAGGACUGGAAGGUCUGAUGGUGUUGCCCUGCAAGGAGUAACCAGGCUGGCAGAAGUCAGGGUGACUCCAUUUUGUGCUGAAAGCACAUUGCUGGUAUCAGGGCUCUGAGUCAAAGCUGCACAGCACAAAGGCACCCAGGGCUAGAGGGCAGGUGGUGACACAACCCAGGAGUCUGGGUUGACUCCUAAAGCAUCACAGAAGGGUACUGCUUUUACCCAUGUUUUCUGAAACUUGACAACUGAAGAAGGAAGAUGUAUAUAUAGUACCGCUGAAAAGGAAAGGAAAUUACCAUUUUUCUCUUCUAAUCUGAAGACAGAACAUUAAAUUGAACAAUAUGUU